UCUCGCCGCAAUUCGACCGGAGCCCUCUCUCUGCUCACCUCCGGCAGCACCACCCGCCGCCAUCCCCCUGGCACAUUUGGCUAGUCCAAAGCCUCCCCCUCCUUCCAAGAGCCCUCCUCUAGCCCCUACUACACCGAGGGAUCCAUUCCUACCCCCAAUUUGUCUCAGGAACCACCGACAACAAAGCCCCUCUCCCGUGUGACAACGUCAUCCGCCAUGGCUGAAGCCCUGCCUUGCUCUGAGUCUUCCAGAGGUCCUCCCCAGUUCCCUGAGAUGCGACACGUUCCCUUGAGCUUGCCGGCAUGUCGAGCUCCACAGAUGACACCCUCUAGCACCGGCAAUCUUCACCGUACUCACCUCUCGCCACGACGCGGGAGGAACGGGCAGAACCCGACAGGUGGUCCCCACCUGUCGGUAAGAGGGAGUCGUUGCUCCUAUGGCGCCACCCUGCUGGUGUGUCUUCCCUGCAGAGUUCCGCAAGCGUGUCGAAAGGUGAGGAUUCGUUUGACUAUGUUGGUUCAUCUUCUUGACGGAUUCGUUCUUCUUCCAUGCGGGAUCACAGGAUCACGCUGGUAUUUUGGAACCUCUACGACGACGUUGUGAACGGGAUUCUGUUCUUGGUGCCGCUAGUUUCGAGGAGUUGAGCCCAAGGGGAUUCUUGUCACACUCGGUAUCAUUCAGUUUCCUUAGUAUCUCAGGAUGGAGGAUGUUCGAAAUUCUUCAAUCCUUGUAGUGGUGAGAGGAGUCUCGCAUCCACAGUACUGGUGGAGAGCGUUUGGAUGUACUGCCAUACUUGGUAUCAUUGUGAUUACGAGGGUCUAAGGUAUAUGAGUUUCCGAGAGCUCUGGUUAUGUGUUGACGAAUGUGAUACAAUGGACGGGUAGUGUUAUUGCUAGGAGUUGAGUGGUCAACUUUACUCCUUCUAUCUGUGGACUCGAUUAAAUAACUGGAAAAUCUCGGGAGUUCUUACUUGCGAA